UUUAAUGAAGAGUUUGAUCCUGGCUCAGGACGAACGCUGGCGGCGCGCCUAACACAUGCAAGUCGAACGGAGAUAUUUUGUUUGAAGUUUUCGGAUGGAAAACAGCUUAUCUUAGUGGCGAACGGGUGAGUAACACGUGAGCAACCUGCCUUUCAGAGGGGGACAACAUUUGGAAACGAAUGCUAAUACCGCAUAAGACCACGGUGUCGCAUGGCACAGGGGUCAAAGGAGCAAUCCGCUGAAAGAUGGGCUCGCGUCCGAUUAGGUAGUUGGUGAGGUAACGGCCCACCAAGCCGACGAUCGGUAGCCGGACUGAGAGGUUGAACGGCCACAUUGGGACUGAGACACGGCCCAGACUCCUACGGGAGGCAGCAGUGGGGAAUAUUGCACAAUGGGGGAAACCCUGAUGCAGCGACGCCGCGUGGAGGAAGAAGGUCUUCGGAUUGUAAACUCCUGUCCUUGGGGACGAUAAUGACGGUACCCAAGGAGGAAGCACCGGCUAACUACGUGCCAGCAGCCGCGGUAAAACGUAGGGUGCAAGCGUUGUCCGGAAUUACUGGGUGUAAAGGGAGCGCAGGCGGAUUGACAAGUUGGGAGUGAAAACUAUGGGCUCAACCCAUAACCUGCUUUCAAAACUGCCAGUCUUGAGUGGUGUAGAGGUAGGCGGAAUUCCCGGUGUAGCGGUGGAAUGCGUAGAUAUCGGGAGGAACACCAGUGGCGAAGGCGGCCUACUGGGCACUAACUGACGCUGAGGCUCGAAAGCAUGGGUAGCAAACAGGAUUAGAUACCCUGGUAGUCCAUGCCGUAAACGAUGAUUACUAGGUGUGGGGGGAUAGACCCCCUCCGUGCCGCAGUUAACACAAUAAGUAAUCCACCUGGGGAGUACGACCGCAAGGUUGAAACUCAAAGGAAUUGACGGGGGCCCGCACAAGCAGUGGAGUAUGUGGUUUAAUUCGAAGCAACGCGAAGAACCUUACCAGGUCUUGACAUC
rnacentral:rRNA from 1 species